UGAGUAAUGUCUGGGAAACUGCCCGAUGGAGGGGGAUAACUACUGGAAACGGUAGCUAAUACCGCAUAACGUCGCAAGACCAAAGUGGGGGACCUUCGGGCCUCACACCAUCGGAUGUGCCCAGAUGGGAUUAGCUAGUAGGUGGGGUAAUGGCUCACCUAGGCGACGAUCCCUAGCUGGUCUGAGAGGAUGACCAGCCACACUGGAACUGAGACACGGUCCAGACUCCUACGGGAGGCAGCAGUGGGGAAUAUUGCACAAUGGGCGUAAGCCUGAUGCAGCCAUGCCGCGUGUAUGAAGAAGGCCUUCGGGUUGUAAAGUACUUUCAGCGGGGAGGAAGGCGGUGGAGUUAAUAGCUUCACCGAUUGACGUUACCCGCAGAAGAAGCACCGGCUAACUCCGUGCCAGCAGCCGCGGUAAUACGGAGGGUGCAAGCGUUAAUCGGAAUUACUGGGCGUAAAGCGCACGCAGGCGGUCUGUCAAGUCGGAUGUGAAAUCCCCGGG
rnacentral:rRNA from 1 species